rnacentral:lncRNA from 1 species
AAGAACAAGCAUCUCAUUAAUUCGCGAGCAAUUUCCCCAACCAACUAAGCAAUAUUGCAAAAUUGACUGUACAUGAGCAAAAUAGUAAAGUUUUAAAAUAUCUAGGGAGACAAAAUUACUAAGUAUCCAUAGAACAUAACAGUGCACAGACAAUCUUCCCACUACAUAAUCAACGUGAGAGCUCCAAGACAAAUUAGAAUCCAGUAGAAGACAGUUUGCUUUUUGUACUACAUGAAAAAAAUUAUUGGAAUUUAGUGCAACUGUGGUAUCGUCAGCAAAUUGAGUGACAUAACAGCCAGAUUGCUGUUCCACGUUUUCUACUCGAAGGCUUAUUGCAUGAGAAAUAAUUUCUAAUGGAUUCCGAACCAAACAUGUUGAGCUAUCGUUUAUCAUUUGAUUUAAAUCAUUGACGAAAAUCAAAAAUAAAAGAGGGCCAACGAUACUUCCCUGUGGAACUCCGGAGAG